CGUACUAGAGGAGCCUGUCCUGUAAUCGAUACUCCACGCUGCACCUCACCCCCCCUUGCUACCCCAACCUAUAUACCGCCGUCGCCAGCUCACAAUGUGAAUGCACCACCGUGAGCAAAAUUAUUAAACCAUAAACACGACAGGUCAAGGUGUAGUUCACGGGAGGGGAGAGAUGGGCUACAUUUUCUCCACCAGAAAAUACCACCCGCACCGUGAAAUCUACGCUCACAGGCGGAUUUAGAAGUAAGCCUGGCAAGACGUGCCAACCUGAAAAGCUCUGGGAUGC
rnacentral:rRNA from 1 species